UUCAGUCACACAGUCAGAGGGUCCAGAGUCACAUCUAUCUCAUUCUCUCAUCCUAUCUGAGACACGAUGCAUCUCUUCUGGUGGAUCACCCACAUCUUUCUAUCCCUCCCUUCUCUCCUCUCUCUAGUCCAAUCCCUCACAUGCGACAAUGAGACACAGUAUGCUUGGCCACUGCAUGUAAGCCAAUGGUGCUGCGACAAGUGUCCACCAGGUCAGCAUCUGGUGGGACGCUGCACUGGUCAGAACAGCCCUACCCAGUGUACUGACUGCGAUAGCGGCUACUACUCAGACAGCUACAACUUCAACAUAGGUUGCAAAUCCUGCGAUGGCUGCAGCAUGAGUGAGCUGCAGUAUGUAUCUCGCUGUUCCACCAAGCAGAAUGAUGUGUGCAGCUGUAAACCAGGCUACCGCUGCAGAGGCAGUGGCACCUGUCUGGACUGUGAGGAGAUCCCCAGCCCGAACACACCCAAACUCAUACCGACACCUCCCAUCAUGCCAGCUACAGUGUCAAACCACUCGGUUGCUGGUAUCUCUAAUCAUAGACCUAAACCUGUCACCAAACCUGGGCCCAUCACAAAUCUAAACCGAGAUGAUAGCAAGUGGCUCCCGGUGUGUGUGUCUGCAGUGUGUGUGUGUCUACUGCUCACCUGCCUUGUUGCCAUAUCAAAGCUCAAACCUUUUCUGCGAUGGAUUGGUUCAACAAACAGCUUCUGGUCUCCCAAAAAGACUACUCCAGCGAAUCAGAGCACAGCGGAGGAGGAAGUGCCCAUGCCGGUCCAGGAAGUGUGUGGAAAGCCAGAGCUGCUACUGGACGUAUGAUGGAGGAAGUGGGUGUCGAAGGAGAGGAUGAGAACUCACAAGCGAGCUGGGAGACAAACAGACUACCUCACAUUCCCAUUGAAGUGAAACUAACCUGAAGGCUAGACAGGCUGCUGUAUUGGUUUAAUGCAGUGGCUUCUGUAUCUAGGACUUUCAGAAAGGACAAGAAAAUAGGACAAAAAGACACUUUGAAGUAUGAAGAUACAGGCUAAAGAUGAGUGGGAGUCUGUGACCGAGAAAGAGCAGAAGGAGAGUGAGAAACGAAGAGUGAACAAGAGACACAGAGAGAGACAGACACACACACACACACAAACAUUUGUGUGCUGAAUACAUGUACUGUACAUGUUUAUGUUGAAGAUGUUUUACACCUUCAUUACAAUUAUGAUUUUUGCUGUAUCUAUGCUUUAUGCCAGUGUUUACUCUUACAUAGUAGUGGCUGUUUAAAACAUACAGUGCUGUAUUUUAAAUAAAGAACAGAUUCACAAAUGUGACAGGCCUACUGUAAUGUCAUACAAUUGCCCCAUCACCUGUAUUCAUUGAAAAAUUAUAUUUCAUAUUUUGGUUUUAAUUUGUGCGAAAACAGUUCAAGGUGCCACAUGAACACAGAAAAAACAGUUUGCAGCAGUUGAGACUGAAAGCUUAUUAUACAGUUCAAUAAAAUGAGAGCAAGUGGAUGUGUACAUGACCACCAUAGUGAGAUGCCUAGCUCUAUCUAAGUCUAGAACAGGAAAUAAUGGCCAUUCUAGAGUUGUGGGAUUCACCAGUGUUCUUCUGAGAGUAAGGGCUCCAUGUAUCUCAGAAGUUCAGCUUUACAGCCUGAUAGAAAUGUAAAGGUAAUGUUCUCGCGUCAGUGGAGACUGCAUUCACGUUAAACACUGCAUAUGUCGGCUCAAUCAAACAAUCUGUAACGCUUCAGUGAUACAGACUGAAUAGAGCCCCAGGUAGAUGUUGUCCCUUACCACUGAUCCAGGGUCAGACCAGUCUUCAUCCUCCUUAUGAUUAACAUUAGGAUGUAGGGUUGGCUAAACUGAUCCUAGAAGGGAAGUUUUCACUUGGAGCGUCCUCUGUCCUCAAUCCCCCUCCCCUCAAUGCACCUCCUCUUUGGAAACGUGACUGUCCUUCCCUUGUUCCUGUGAAGGGAAGAAUACACAGUCCAUCUCCCCAUCCCUUUCCUCCUGGGAUAGAUGGAUGUUAGGGGAGGGUGUGGGGUGGGUCGGACAUCCUUCCUCAUCCCUCUCUUUCUGCCCUCUCCCUUCCAUCCCUCCACCCAUACCAGUGAACUGGUUGAGUAAACUGAAGAUGACUGUUCCAGCAUUGUGGACAUGGACCGGGCCUGAGAGAGACACAGACAGAGAGAAAGUGAUAUUAGAUUCUAUAUUAAUCAUCAGCCUUAUUCACUAUGGAUCUUGAAACGAAUCAACUUCCCAUGCUAAUCCCCCAUGGACUUCAAAACAUCUUCUAUGCAAAACUCCAACUUAAACGACUGACGUGCAUCUAUAGGAAAAACCACAAGAGUAACUCCACCAUAUUUAGAUUCCUUUUUAAAUCAAGAUCUUGGGGUCAAAAUAAUUAUUUGUACGUAUCCAUAGUACCCAUAUUUGCUGCUGUAAUAGGUGGUGGAUCCACUGUCUGGUGCUUAAUACUGGGCUGUGCCUCUCUGGCAUUGUGCUGAUGAGGUGGCUCUUUGGUCUUGUUAGGCAACGUUUCUCUUACUCCCUUCAUAAGAGCACAGAAAUUCACCAGAAAUCCAGAGUUAUUGGAAUACACAAUUGUCAACAAUGCCUAUUUAGGGUUUCGGUCAGGAACACAUGAAUGACAAUGUAAACAUUACACACACAAUGUAGUAAGUUACUGUAGGUAUUAUACAUACCUUGUUACAGAACUUGAGAGCUGGAAAAUAACAGACACAAAUCUAUUAGUGACCCCAGCAAACUGAUUGUAAGCCACUCAUGGGUAUUUCAUCGAUGAAUCAUCUAUGAUUGAAAGGGCAAUGCUUUUUCAUCUUACUCUGCAUUUUAAUGCUUUCUGGGUACAUGUAGACACUAGAAACUGGUAAGUAGGUCUACACACACAGAGAGUGUUGCAAUCUUUUAAUUCAAUUACAUUCACAAGAAGCUACAGUUGGCUCCCAGUGCAGACCUAUCCUGAGAUUUAACAUCACAGUCUAAUCCUUCCUCAUCUCAUUCUAGUGUCCAGAGAGAGAGUCUGCUCUAACACAAUGAUCUAACUACAGUUGAGACUGAACAGAGGAACACUGCCUUACCUUGUUUGAAACAGGCUUCAUUUCCUGGGCGACGGAUACAUAACAGAAUGAUAACGGCUAGGAUUCCAAUGACCACCAUAGGACACAAAAUGGCUGCCAAGUGUUUGCUGGUGUCAGCUGGUGGGGAAAGGAGAUGGAGAAAACUACUGUAAUCUGUAGCUUCUCACAUUUUCAAUAUAUUCUGACUGUAAUGAAAAUAGCUGAUGGACACACACACACCACACACACACACACACACACACACACACACACACACAGCACACACACACACAGACCUGUGGUGUGAUGAGAGGCGUGUACCUGCUGUGAGACUGGGAGUUGUGGAGUGUCACAGCUGGGUGAGACAGAGGUAAAGGACUCAUCAUGUAACAUAUCCAUACACAUUCACAGCCUGUCAACACUGAAGUGGGUCCAGUGAACUGAGAACUGUAUUAAAUAUCCCAAAUAUCCAUUACCACGAAAU
ensembl:lncRNA